CACUGGUGACAGUUACUAAGGCACGUCAAGCUACGCUCACGCGUACUUUUACACAUCAAAAACGAAAGCCGAUGCAGGUCACCUCCCGCCGCACAUCUUAUAAAGAGCGUGACGCCAGACGCCAUGUAGCCAUGUUUAUUUACCAAUUCAAACGGCUUGAGCUUGGCCUGGCUUAGCGGCUUAGCCAGUGGCUUAGCCACUUAUGACUUGCUUUCCCGCAACUACAGUGUACCCGCAACUUUUCAGUCGGCGGCUUGGUGUGCGUGCUCUCGGAACAAGUGCGAACUGGGAGGGACACAUCAGUGUGACGACUCGAGAAGGAAAUAUGGCUUUGACAGCUGUUGGUAGUAUUAUCAGAAAGACAUAGAACACAUGGAAGCACACAUAAAGAGCACACAUAACCAGCGGAAUAACCAGCAUGUAUGUAUUUCAACAUACAUGCUCUGACAAAGUUUCUAUUCAACCUGGCAUGGCCCAAGAAUCAGCUAUGAAAACUAAAGCCCACACAACAUCGACACGAUCGUGCUACGAAAGUAGAGGUCAGGCGAGGCCUCCAGUGGUGCCAAAAUUAGGCUGGCACUGGUAUAGAAGAAAUACAACAAAGGUUAAAAGGGAGUGUGCCACAAUUACAGAACGAUAUGUCGUCAUUCUCUCAGAUGUCAUCACAGCUCCAACUAGGUGUCCUACAGUGCCAUUGCCACUCACUAAAGUAUGCUGAAGGCUACGAGUGACAACGUAUGAACACACUGUGCCACCUUAAGCGAAAAAUAUCGAUAUUAUCUCGCAAGCGCAUUCCUGGGGAAAUUCUGUGGGACAUUCUCCUUCAACCAGAACUACAGCUUGUGGGAAAUAUCUGUGCAUGAACAUUUGGAAAGAACUUGUCGAAGUGCCAUUUAUCUAGCGUUAGCAGAACUAGAAUAAUGCUGCUUUGAAGCAGAAUAUGACAACUGCUUUUCUCUCUUUGGGUUGCACCGUGAAUAAAAGAA